rnacentral:lncRNA from 1 species
AAACAUUAGCAUCAUAUGGUUCAUGUGGGCACACAUGAACCCUCAUCACAUACAUCACAUAUCAUUAAUGCACAUGCGUAUUAUCAUGGCAUUUCACAUCAUCAUAUAAGACAGGACUCCACAUCCUAUCCUAGUGGACAUGACCUUUCCUAUUGUGCUUGACCUUCUAUAACCUCUAUGAGCCCGACACUCUAGGUCCGACCAUAUGAACCUAGGGCUCUGAUACCAUUCUGUAACGACCCGAAAAUUGGACCGCUACCGGGGCUAGGAUCCGGGUCGACUUAAGGCCGC